rnacentral:rRNA from 1 species
CCUACGGGUGGCUGCAGUGGGGAAUAUUGGACAAUGGGCGAAAGCCUGAUCCACCCAUGCCGCGUGUGUGAAGAAGGCCUUCGGGUUGUAAAGCACUUUCAGUGGGGAAGAAAGCCUUGGGGCUAAUACCCUCGAGGAAGGACAUCACCCACAGAAGAAGCACCGGCUAACUCCGUGCCAGCAGCCGCGGUAAUACGGAGGGUGCGAGCGUUAAUCGGAAUUACUGGGCGUAAAGCGCGCGUAGGCGGUCUGAUAAGCCGGUUGUGAAAGCCCCGGGCUCAACCUGGGAACGGCAUCCGGAACUGUCAGGCUAGAGUGCAGGAGAGGAAGGUAGAAUUCCCGGUGUAGCGGUGAAAUGCGUAGAGAUCGGGAGGAAUACCAGUGGCGAAGGCGGCCUUCUGGACUGACACUGACGCUGAGGUGCGAAAGCGUGGGUAGCAAACAGGAUUAGAUACCCGAGUAGUC